rnacentral:rRNA from 1 species
UUGAACGCUGGCGGUAUGCUUUACACAUGCAAGUCGAACGGCAGCACGGGGCAACCUGGUGGCGAGUGGCGAACGGGUGAGUAACAUAUCGGAACAUAUCCGGAAGUGGGGGAUAACGUAGCGAAAGUUACGCUAAUACCGCAUAUGCCCUGAGGGGGAAAGUGGGGGAUCGCAAGACCUCACGCUUUCGGAGUGGCCGAUAUCAGAUUAGCUAGUUGGUGGGGUAAAGGCCCACCAAGGCGACGAUCUGUAGCUGGUCUGAGAGGACGACCAGCCACACUGGAACUGAGACACGGUCCAGACUCCUACGGGAGGCAGCAGUGGGGAAUUUUGGACAAUGGGCGCAAGCCUGAUCCAGCCAUACCGCGUGAGUGAAGAAGGCCUUCGGGUUGUAAAGCUCUUUCAGCCGGAAAGAAAUCGCCACUUCUAAUACGAGUGGUGGAUGACGGUACCGGAAGAAGAAGCACCGGCUAACUACGU